CAGUAGCCACGGGAAUACGUAGGUGGCAAGCAUUGUCCGGAAUUAUUGGGCGUAAAGGGCUCGCAGGCGGUUUCUUAAGUCUGAUGUGAAAGCCCCCGGCUCAACCGGGGAGGGUCAUUGGAAACUGGGAAACUUGAGUGCAGAAGAGGAGAGUGGAAUUCCACGUGUAGCGGUGAAAUGCGUAGAGAUGUGGAGGAACACCAGUGGCGAAGGCGACUCUCUGGUCUGUAACUGACGCUGAGGAGCGAAAGCGUGGGGAGCGAACAGGAUUAGAUACCCCAGUAGUCCCUGUCUCUUAUAC
rnacentral:rRNA from 1 species